rnacentral:rRNA from 1 species
AUUGGAGGACAAGUCUGGUGCCAGCACCCGCGGUAAUUCCAGCUCCAAUAGCGUAUAUUAAAGUUGUUGCAGUUAAAAAGCUCGUAGUUGGAAUCGGUGCGAUUCGAGCAUGGUCUGCCCGAUUAAAAGGGUGUGUACUGGCUUGUAUCCAUCAAAGCUUGGUUGCUCCUGUCUGCUCUUAAUUGAGUGGGCAGCUGGCUCCAGGCCGUUUACUUUGAAGAAAUUGGAGUGUUUAAAGCAGGCUUUUAGCCUUGAACACAUUAGCAUGGUAUAAUGGAACAGGACUGCUGUCUGUUUCGUUGGUUAGCAGCAUGCAGUAAUGAUUAAUAGGGACGGUUGGGGUGGUUCAUAUUUCGUCGCUAGAGGUGAAAUUCUUGGACCGACGAAAGAUGCACUAGUGCGAAAGCAUUCCACAAGGACGCUUUCAUUGAUCAAGAACGAAAGUUAGGGGAUCGAAGACGAUCAGAUACCGUCGUAGUCUUAACCAUAAACUAUGCCGACCAAGGAUCAGAGGGUGUUACAUGGAUGAGUGUUGCAUGGAUGACCCCCCUGGCACUUUGUGGGAAACCAAAAGUUUUUGGGUUCUGGGGGAAGUAUGGUCGCAAGGCUGAAACUUAAAGGAAUUGACGGAAGGGCACACCAGGAGUGGAGCCUGCGGUUUAAUUUGACCCAACACGGGGAAUCUCACCAGGUCCAGACAUAGUGAGGAUUGACAGACUGAGCGCUCUUUCUUGAUUCUAUGGGUGGUGGUGCAUGGUCGUUCUUAGUUGGUGGAGUGAUUUGUCUGGUUAAUUCCGCUAACGAACGAGACCUCAACCUGCUAAAUAGUGCUGCAAGCUGUCAGUAUGGGUGAAGCCUUCAUGCGGCUGGAUCACGGUUCAGCAGCUGGGGGUGGAUCCUUGGCAAGCUGGUAGAAACUUCUUAGAGGGACUACUCGCGGUAAGCGAGCGGAGGCUUGAGGCAAUAACAGGUCUGUGAUGCCCUUAGAUGUUCUGGGCCGCACGCGCGCUACACUGUUGUUCUCAAUCAGCUCGCCUUGGCCGGAAGGCCCGGGCAAUCUUUUAGCGGACAACGUGAUGGGGAUCGACCAUUGCAAUUAUUGGUCGUAAACGAGGAAUCCCUAGUAAGCACAAGUCACAAGCUUGUGCUGACUACGUCCCUGCCCUUUGUACACACCGCCCGUCGCUCCUACCGAUUGAACAGUCGGAUGAAGACUCGAG